UUAUAUAAGUUUUUUGAGACAGGGGGCUAUACAUCAAAUGACUCAUUAUUGGUAGUUUACACAGUCCAGAUAUAAGCAUCAUCCUGGUGGGACAUGAGACUUCUUAUAAGAUCAAGAAGAAAUGUUACCUUUAAGCAGUUGUCUUGUUGAUGGCUAAGAGAAUGUUGCUCUUUAUGGUUGAAAGGUGUUCCUGCCCACAGGGAGGUUUGGUGGAUGCAUAAUACAGAUUCACAUUGCACAGUGAGGGAAAGAGAAGGCCAAAGGGCAGAGAAGAAUUUUCAUGUUUAAGUUUUUCUUGUCUUGCCAUAAAAUGUAACUUUUAUUUUAUUGUUCCAAAAAGCAAAAUUUGAAUUUGCUGUGCACAGUCAACUAUUACAUAUCAUUUUCAUUGAACAUUCUAAUUUGAACAGUAUUUACAUUAAACUGUAAGUAAUCUAGAGAUAGUUUAAAGUAUACAGGAGAAUGUGUGUAGGUUUGGUGGCUUCUCAGUGAGUCCUGCAGGCAUCUCAGCAAGCAGCUGCCCGGCAUCAACUCACCUGCAUUCUGGCCACCUGUUUCCGGUGGCCACUCCCAACCGUGGUUUUCUUUCUACCAGCCUUGGUCUGGCACAUAUAGACCAGCUCUGGUCUAGGGCAGCCCAAUCAACCUCUUCACCAUUAGUAGCUACAACGACUCCUUCUCCAAUGAGAUCUGAAUCCUACCCUUUUCUUUGACUGCGCCUAGAGCACAUGGAAGUUCCCUGAGCCAGAGAUCAAACCAAUGCCACAGCAGCAACCUGCUAGAUCCUUAACCCACUGCACCAAAAGAGAACUCCUGAAUAUAAAUCCACAAAUAACAAAUGCUGGAGGGGGUGUGGAGAAAACAGAACCCUCCCGCACUGCUGGUGGGAAUGUAAGCUGGUAUAACCACUAUGGAGAACAGUAUGGAGGUACCUUAGAUAUCUAUACAUAGAACUACCAUAUGACUCAGCAAUCCCACUCUUAUCCAGACAAAACUUUCCUUAAAAAAGAUACACGUUCACUGCAGCACUAUUCACAAUACCAAGACAUGGAAACAACCCAAAUGUCCAUCAAGAGAUGAAUGGGUUAAGAAGAUGUAGUAUAUGUACAUCAUGGAAUACUACUCGGCCAUAAAAAAAGAACAAAAUAAUGCCAUUUGCAGCAACCUGAAUGGAACUAGAGACUCUCAUACUAAGUGAAGUAAGAAAAAGACAAAUACCAUGUCACUUUUAUCUGGAAUCUAAUAUAGGGCACAAAUGAACCAUUCCACAGAAAAGAAAAUUAUGGUUUUUGAUGUGGUGAUCUUUUUACAGAUAAUAGAGUUGUAGCCUCUCUUACUUCUGGUGUCUGCCCCCUUUGUGGCUGAUAUCGGUAUGGGGGCUUGCUGUAGGCUUCCUGAUGGGAGGGACUGAUGCCUUCCCACUGGUAGGUGGAGCGAUUCUUAUCCCUCUGGUGGGUGGGGCUUUGUCUCUGGAUAGGAUUAGAGGCAUCUGUGUGCCUGGGGGGGGUCUUUAGGCAGCCUGUUUACUGAGGGGUGGGGCUGUGAUCCCACCUGGAUUGUUGUUUACCCUGGGGCUUCUCAGCACUGAUGGGUGGGGCCAGAUUUUCCCAAAAUGGCCACCUCCAGAGACAGGCAUGGUGGUACUGAAUAUUCCUGAGAGCUUUGCUUUAAAUGUCCUUCCCUCACAACAAGCCACAUUCACCCCUGUUUUCCCAGGAUGUCCUACAAGAACUGCAGUCAGGUUUGACCCAGAUUCCUAUGGAGACCUCGCUCUGCCCUGGGACCCAGUGCACGUGAAAAUCUGUGUGUGCCUUUUAAGAAUGGAGUCUCUGUUUCCCCCAGUCCCGUGGAGCUCUUGCGUACAAACCCCACUGGCCUUCAAUGACAUGCUCCAGGGGCUCUUUCUCCCAGUGCCAGAUCCCCACACGUGGGAGUUUGAUGUGGGGCUCAGAACUCUCACUCCUGUAGGUGAGUCUCUGUGAAGCAGUUAGUUUCCAGUCUGUGGGGCUUCCCACCUGGGAGGUAUGGGUUUGCUUAUGUUGCAUAAUAGCCCCUCCUACCUCUUGAUGUGGCCUCCUCUUUGUUUUCUGGAGUAGGAUAUCUUCUUUAAGGUUUCCAGUCCAUUUGGGUGAAGAUUGCUCAGCCUUUAGUUGUGAAUUUUGUUGUCUUUAGGAGAGAAGUUGAGCUCCAGCCUUCUAUUCGCCAUCUUAAUCCCAUCUCCAAGAAAAGAAAAUCAUGGACUUGGAGAAUAGACUUGUGGUUGCCAAGGGGGAGGGGGAGGGAGUGGGAUGGACUGGGAGCUUGGUGUUAAUAGAUACAGACUGUUGCCUUUGGAAUGGAUUAGCAAUGAGAUCCUGCUGUGUAGCACAGGGGAACUAUGUCUAGUCACUUAGGAUGGAGCAUGAUACUGUGAGAAAAAAGAAUGUAUACAUGUAUGUGUAACUGGGUCACCAUGCUGUACAGUAGAAAAAAUAAUAAUAAUGUAUUGG
rnacentral:lncRNA from 1 species